GGAACUGAUAGCAAAAUUCCUUGAACUUUGCAUGGGGAUAAUAAAAUAUGAGCUGUACAACAGAUGAUGGUAAUUCAAAUACUGCGUUCUUUCAGAAAGAGAUGAUCAUAGCCAGUGGCAUACCAGUUUCCCCUUUCUAAACAUUAUCAGGAGAUGGUAAUCAGGUAAAAGAACAGUGAUUGCAUCAGAUGUCAGACAGGAACUGGCUAUUAUAAAGGAGAGAGCAAGAUGGGGAGAGGAAAUAGAAGAAAGAAAAGGUCGCUGCAGAGUGGAGAGUUGUCAUUAGCAGAAAAGCAGCAGGGUGAACUCAACCUGCCAAAAAAGGUUGUAUUUCGAAUUCAAAGACAAACUCAAGUUAUGAGAGAAACGAGUGAGGUCAUUUAGUAUUCUUACAACUGCCUAGGUUCUGCACUGUCUCAAAUGAAGGUUGGCGUGUGUAAGAAACCAAUAAAAAUGAGAACACUUGCACUGCUGGGGAGCGGCAUGGGCAGAGGGCCCUGGCGGGAGGCGAGGGGUGAGAGGCGGGUGGUGCUGGGCAGGCAGGGCUGUGCCAUCACCCCAUGGAGCACUCCUUCCCUGCCACGGCACCACGGGCAGAGCUGUCCCAGGUAGCUGGGCUCAGACAGCCCCGACAGACUGACAAAUCUGCAGUGACCGGGCAGGCCCAAGCUCAGGCCGACACGGCUGGCCCACAGGUGGGAUCCACGGUCAGGUACUGGCCCCAGGGCCUCAGCUUAGAGCAGCUCCCAGGGAAAUUGGGCUCAGCCCUGACUGAGGCAUCUUCUAGUCACAAAAAACCUCUGUGCCAAAGAGGUAUGGUCUGGAGAUGUGAACUGGCGAUUGGCAACGGGACCAAAGUUUCCCAGAUGUACUUGAUUUCAUCUGGGAUCUUUCAUACGACUUUGUUGUCCAUCACUGAAGAAUCGUUUCGGUUCUGCCUUGGUCAUUACUGAGCACAUGGCACCACAUAAUAGCCAAGAGGUCCGUGUUCUGCUUCUUCAGGGAUGUUACAGACUGACUCAACUGAAAGGAUAGUCACCCCACUGCCCUGCAACCUUUCUAAUGUUGUUCUUAAGAAAACAAUAAAGUUAACCUUCACCCUAAUCUUCA
rnacentral:lncRNA from 1 species